rnacentral:tRNA from 3 species
GCCCAGGUGGCGGAAUUGGUAGACGCGCGGCGUUCAGGUCGCCGUGUCCUUACGGAUGUGCGAGUUCGAGUCUCGCCCUGGGCACCA